UGGGGUAAUUAGAUUAAUUGCCCCCUUAGAGCGCCGCGUGUUGCGCAAUAGGAAAUUCCUGGGCUCCAUCGCGGCUCAAAGGAUCCGAGCACGGCCACACAUACAGGAGAUCAGCGGCCCCACGGCCGCCCCUCCCCCACCUCAACCCCCCAGCCCCCCCCCCUUUGUGGUGGUGGCGGAGCCGUCAGUCGAGAGGCCCAGGGUCCUACAGGCCAGAAUCCUAUUGACCUAUAGGGUGAGUUAUGGGGUCUAUGGGGUCCUAUGGGGUCUAUGGGGUCCUAUGGGGUCCUACAGGCCAGAAUCCUAUUGACCUAUAGGGUGAGUUAUGGGGUCUGUGGGGUUUUAUGGGGUUCUAUGGGGUCUAU